UUUUUUUUAUAUGACACUUUUGACUUGUGCACGUAUGUUUAGGUGGGUUGACCGGGUAGUAAAAAUUAUUAAUUUUAACUGAUUUUUUUUGUGAAUUAAAAUUUUGAUUACAUAUUUUUAUUCAGAAAAAGAAAAUUUCAAAAAUAAUGUUUUUAACUACCCGGUCAAAACACUUAAAAGCGUGCGCCAAAAAGUCAAACGUCAUAUAUUAAAAAACAGAGGAAGUAUCUUUUUAUAUUUUCUAACAACAAAAUUUCAAUCUUUCAAAAUAACAUAAACAACAUAGUAAUUAUCUUUUUAACCACACAUUAUCCUUUAUAGAUUUUGUAACCAAAAAAUCAAUCAUUUUGAAAUACAUUGAUCACAUAAUGAGAAUUGUUAUCUUUUAUUUUUUUAAUAAAUUAAAAUUAUUCAAACCACUUUUUACUAUAUUUUAAAUAUACGAUCAAUAUUCAUAUAAUUAUUUUCAGAAUCUAAAACGUCAAUUAUUUAUUGGUGGAAUAAUUUACAAGUUUGAUAUAUUGACAUUAGAAAUUAUGGUUGUAUUCCCUUCUUCUCAUUCAAUUGUAUAUAUGUUUCGUUUUUACUGAUCGACACAUAUUUUAGAGCUCUUAUAAAAUAUAGUUAUAUAAUUUAUUUUUUAAUUUUUUAUAUAAAAAUAUAAAUAUUAUAUUUUUAUAUUAUAAAAAUAAAAUAUUAAAAAUAAAUUACAAAAUUAUAUUUUAUUGAAAUAUUAAAUCUGUAGGGAGUACGAUAUUAGAAUCAACACAGUUUGUACCUAUGUUUUAUUAAUUUAUUUUGUUUUCAUGCCCGUACUUGGUUCCUCAGACUCACAGCCAAAUGUCACAACUCACACACUAUGAAAUUUUAAAAUUUAAGAGGAAAGUGGAUUAGAGAGUGGUGUGAACAUAUUAGGUUAGUAUACAUUGUUCUAAUAAUUAUGGAUAUAAUAAAAUUAUAUUUAAAUCUAUAAAUAAAUAUUAUUAUUAUGCUAAGGACAUUUAUAAUUUUUAUAAAAUAGAAUAUAUUCAUUAUAGAAUAAUUUAAUAAUAUUACAAAUUGAAUCAAUUCAAUUCUGUAGAAUUUCUAAGUAGGAAGAAAUGAUUUCAAUGUGUAAAAACUAACCCAUUCAUCUUUGAGCCUGAGCUCCUGUUUGUACUUUGUAUACAAACUGAAAAACAAAAUUCUCACCGAUUCAAGUGAAAACGGGUCUUGCAUUGAUUCAAAAGGUCACGAGUUCGAACCUCACUAGCUCCUGGACGUUCACCCGAGUUGAAGUGACAGUGAGAUGAUUUGAAGAAAGGGGAUCGAGUUUCAAUCCGUGCGUAUCACAGGGAAGUUCCCACCCACCGGGUCUUGUCGCUCGAUUAGUCCGAUUUGCCUACCUGUGUUGCCUAUGGAGCUAGUCGGCAGGUUCCUAGAGAAAAAUCUUAGACAAGAUGUCCUGUAAUACGCAUUUCGCAUUUCGAAGAAAAACAAAAUUCCGUUACAAACUUCCCGUCUUACUAACUAACAUGAAUAGGCAAAAUUUACCAAUCUGCCCUUAACAUCUUUUCUAUAUUCGUAUGGUCUUUUCUUUGUUGCUGGAUAUUCUCUAAAAAAUGAUAUUCUACUCAAUAAUAGCCGAUGUCUUAUGUGAAGUCAAAUGGAUUUUUAAUCUGUUUUUUAAACUUCACUUCAAAAUUACUCUUUCUAUUUCUCUAUUCUGUGGUAAAACUUCUGUCAUUAGCAUUUUUGAAAAUCAUUUUCUGCAUGAAAGAACACAUCAUACUGAUUUGGAUUGUCAUUUGAUCAGAGAUCAUGUCAAGACUAGUUUCUUCACUCUAAAUAUAUUCCAACUGCCAUUCAACCUACUGAUCUUCUCACCGAACCUUUCAGCUACAAGAACUGCUUCUUUAUUAUCCAAAUUAGGUGUGCUGAAUAUUUUUCACCCUCCUAAUUUGAGGGGGAUAUUGAGGAGAAUAUCGAGCAACAAGUAAAGACGAUAAAAAUAUGGAAAAGAUGUUAAUGGCAGAUUAGUAGUGGCGGAACCAGGAAUAAGAGUUAGGAGGGCUGAAAUAUUUCGUGAUCCAUAUUUGCAUAGCCUUCUCAAUAUAUAUCAUCAUACUAUCAUUUAGUCAUGCAUCUCCCAUCUUAUUAUGCUGAUAAGUCUUGAUUGUUUUCACAGUAGAAAAUUGAUUUCCUACACUUUGAAAUUCAGAUUAAUCUUUACCCACUCUCAUAUAGAUAAAAUUGUCUAACUGAUUUGAUAACAACUCCAGAUCUAGUAAAAAGAAAUCAUUUGGAUAAAAUUGUGCAAGGCAGACCAAUUUUGAGUUAUUGAAACUUGAAAAUUAAUUCCUAGAAUCCAAAGAGCCAAUACAAAGUAGUAGUUCUAUAUUUCCUUAUGUAAAACGGUUAUCCAUCUCUUAUGUACAAAGUACUCAGCAUGCAUGAUACAAUUUGUAGGUAUGCAUAUUUUAAUAAUAGAUAUAGAUAAAGAGCGUAUGUAGGGAAUAUUGUUGGAGAACUUCUGUAAUUUUACUUCUUAGAUAGUUAAGAGUUGAUUGUUUAUAUUACUUUUAGGGAAAAAUUAAGGAGUUUGUUGGAGUUGCUGUGAGUGCAUCUAUUUGAAUGUAUUUGUUAAUUAGACUUUUUCAGACUAAAUGCCUUCUCUCUUCUUUUUUUACAAUAAGUCCCUCUCUAUGACAUUUAUACUUCAGCGGGGGCUAAAAAAAUUAUAUUGGCAUCAUUAAUUCAGCGGGGAUGAAAAAAAAAUAUAAACUGUUUUUUCGAAGUUAUGAGGGGCUCUAGUAUACUCUAGCCUCCUCUGGUUCCGCCACCGCAGAUUAGUCGAUUCAUACUAUUAAGUUAGCCGGGAAAUUUGGAACAAAAUUUUGUUUUUCAGUUUGUAUAUAAAUAGGAACUGAGGCUUAGAGAUGAAUGAGUUAGUUUUUACACAUUGGAAUCAUUUCUUCCUGCUUAGAAAUUCUACAAAAUUUUAUAAAAUUUCAACUUCAUGCGGUGCAGACUUGAUUGUUGAAUCUAAUCUGCUACUACUGCAUGUGAACUCAACGACACUUUAGAGGAAGUUAUUUCAAGAUAUUCGUUUUCUUGUUCGGCUGUUUAAGAAGGGGCAAGAUCCCAUUCAUUUUGUCAUUUAAAUAUUAAUUUUCUUUUCAGCUGUACAAUACGUACAUUCAUGUUUGUCGUGUAUAGCAAAGGGAGCACAAAAUCUAGAUAGGGAUUCCACGAAUCAUUAAUAUAUCGGUUUUUCUAUGAUGUGCCCAUGGGCACAUGCUAAGCGCAGAAAAUUUUGUGCUUAGAUCAUUUUGAUCGGCUCCUCUCUCUUGAUAAUGGUGGACCCCCGGCAAAUACACCAAUCACACCAAUCAAAAUCUCCCAAAUACAAAAGUUUCCGCGCUUAGCAUGUGCCCAUGGGCAUACACUAGACAAACUGAUAUUUCUCUUGUAUUCUGGGACCGACCAAUUAUAAUGCGCCCGUUUGUUUUGAAUGCUUUUAUAUUUUCUUUACCGUAGGAGUAAAUAGGUAGAAGCAUUUUAAAAAAGUUAAGAAUGACAGCUUCUGUCUUAGAUUUUCUACUUUUUUUCCAAAUUUUUUAUUAAUUUUUUUACUUCUCACUUCAAAUCCACUUCAUUACUUUAAGUAAAAAAUCACUUUUUUUAAAUUUGUCCAAACAACCCCAAUAAUUAUAAGAAAAAAGCGUGAGAAUCCAAUAUAUUUCCAACUUAUUCUCAUAAAAGAGGUGGCACAUAAUUAUAUAUAUUAUCUCAUAUACAGGGGUGAAGGUCCCAUCUAAAUUUUUUUUUAAAGAAAGGGUGAAUAAAUUAACCACGGGUCGAAAAUUUGCCUAAUAUGACCAACUGAUCACGCAUGUAAAGAAUGCGAGUAGUUGACACUUGACUAUACACGGAUCUGCAGUUUUACGCAUUUUGUCAAUGUGAGAACACCACAUUCGCACAUUCAACAUGCGCACAUCUUUUCUACACAUAAUCUAUCCCAAUAUUCGCAUAUGAUGAAUGCGAAUUCAAUUUAUACGCAUGCGGCAAAUGCGAGUACUACUCUUUUGACUUCUGCAGAUACUCGUUUAUGUCUACUUGGAGAGGGUCGGUGGGAUUAAUUGAAGUCUUCUCAAAAUCACUCCGCUAUUGAAUUAGUUAGAAUGAAUAGACCCGAUUUACCGUCUGAAGCGCAUAGAGCUUUUACUAGUCUUCAUCGUAACGUGGUAACCGCAGAGAUAUGGAUUACUCUUAAGAGUCGAGGGGCUCCUUCAAAAUGUUCUUGAAGUAGUGAUUACAAGACCCAGCAGGCUCUCGGUUUCGUUCCGGCUGGACAAACGCGUCUGUUAACAGUAGCAUAGGAUGGAAAUGGUUUGUGUGUAUAUAAGUCUAGACUUUGGUGUUCGCAUAUGUAUAAUAUUUCAGGCAUUUGAAUUCAAAAAAUGUAUUAUUUAAGGCAAUUUCUCAAAUCUUUUAUCCACACAUAUACAUUAAAAAUUUUAUUUUUAAUUUAUAACUAACUUCCCCGUAGAUAUUUUUUUUAAUUAAUCAAAUCAUCUGUGAAACACCACAGCUGUACAAAAUCAAUACUCCCUCUGUCCCUUUGAUAUGUAUGCGUUUGGAUUGGACACGGAGACUAAGAAAGGUGUAUAAAGUAAUAUAAAGUGAGAGGAAAGAGAAGGAAAAGUGAGUAAAGUGGUGGGACUCAUCAAUAUAUAAUUGAUAGAUUUGUAAAAGUGGAUGAAAGUCGUGGGUGGUUGGGAUUUUUAUAUUAUAAAAGGUUACCACUUUAGAAAGAUUUUGAAAUGUAUAGAAUUGAGUGGGACAUCCAGAAAAGAAAAGGAAAGUGUAUAGAAAUCAGAGGGACGGAGGGAGUAACAUGUAUAAAAGGAAAGAAUACAAUAAAGAGAAAGUAAAGCCCUAUUUGGAAGUUAGAGAUUUGGAGUAAAAUUUGAUGUUUGUGGUGUUUUAGAGGUUUAACCAUAUCAGUCCGUUAAUAUUAGUGUUUGAUAGUUAGCGGAUUGAAAUAGAGGUUUAGGUCCAAAAAGCUAAUAUUCAAAAAUCUACUUUGAGGAGUUUUUGGAUUAGCGGUUUGGGUAUGUGUCACAAAAAGCUCAUCAAACAGCUAUUUACCGAACAGUUUUACAAGAAACCGUUAAUUUAAUACACUAGUCAAAACAUUUAUUUCAAUUAGCUAGUCAAAACAUCUAAUUCAAUCCGCUAACCGCUAACCGCUAAUUCCUAAACAGGGCCAAAGUGACAGCUUUAGUGCUAGUUUAAUGGUACUGGGCCCGAUAGAAAAAACGAGGGCAUCCUCACAUCAAUGUAAUAAAUUGCAUCGGAUCAAAGAAGAAUCGAGGGCAUCAAUAUAUUAAAUUUGUUAGCCCAAGACAAAGGACGGUCGUCUUUCUUAACGGUGGGAGCAUCGAAUCUGUUUAGAGAUUUAUAUGUCCAUUUGAGCAUGUGCUGGAUUUUUUUGGUUCUAUUAUUGUAACUUUGCGAGCACAAUAAUUCAAGUUCUAAAUUCUAGCCAUAUAUUCCAGGAGUGCAUAUAUAUCAACUUUCCUUUAUUUAAAUAAACAGAUAUUUAUAACGAAAGUAUGCAUGAAAAAAAGGAAAUGAAAAGCCAGUGAUGCCACAUUGCAAAUAGUUUUAAAUUAACAUCUGCAAGAGGAUAAUUCAAUUAGCUUUGUUGAUUCUGCAGCUUUUUUUAAACUUUCUUUUUAGGCAAUGAAUUAUAUUUUCAGAUAUUUUUGACAUGCAAAACUUUGGAACAUCGGUUUUUAAUCGUUUGAAGUUACUAGAAACGUGUAAAUAAGUGUCGCAAUUUGACAGUAAAAGAAUGAAUUCUUUUGACUUGAGUUAUCGCUUAAAAUUUUAAAUUGAACUGUAACUGAUAAAUUUUAUGACCAGUAAAUUAUUAAGUUAUUUGAAUAAUAUAAUUUAUAAGUUAUUUUGGUGUUCUGAAUUCUGAUGAUAUUUGUUAAAAUGCUUAUUAAUUUAAAAAGUUUAAGAAGCUGAAAUCGUAAAAAAAUUAUUUUCUUUUUCGGAACUUUUUAAGAUUAUUUCUAUUAAGUGUUUGUUAAGAAAAGUCUACUAAAAUUCACCGAUCAGAUUAUUAUGCGAGCUGUUUAUGUAUCAACCGACACAAUUCAUAAACGAAGAAAUCAUGAUUGAAUACCAAAAAUGUUACAAUCAGGUGAAGAAAGUAAAAUAGCCACUUAGUUACAAAUGUUGACAGGGCUGAGCAAAACCAAAAAUCAAAAGACUAAAACGAGAUGGUAAAACUUAAAAAUGAGAUGUAGAUGUAGCAGAAGAAGCUUUGGUUCGAGCAUUUGGAGAGAAGACAGAGGCCACUGAUUGAGCCAAUCCUAUCACUAUCCCUGCCUUCACCUGUCCCCUUCUUGGUAUCGAACGACGCCUCAUGUUGUCGUUGGAGAAGCUGCGGCUGCUGUUAAGUGGAAGCAUUCUUACAAUAGAUGCCAUGAUGUUAAGAUAAAAGCUUGAUGUAAAUGAAUAUACGAGACUUUUUGUAAGUGAGAAGAGACUAGAGAGUGAGAUGCAGAGGUUGUAGGAGAUUUAGGAUACGAUGAAGUACAAACAAGAGUGUGUAUUUAUAUUGAAACUAGAAGAGUCUUCACCUGCAAUAAUAGAAUGCUAUGGAAAAUUUAAAUAAUUGUUUGUGUGACUUGUGAGGCUGCUGAGUGAGUGUGAAGGGGGCUGAAUGAUGUUACUUUAUGUAAAUGCAAGACCCCUAGCUCUACUUUUUCUU
rnacentral:lncRNA from 1 species